rnacentral:rRNA from 1 species
UACGUAGGGACCAAGCGUUGUUCGGAUUUACUGGGCGUAAAGGGCGCGUAGGCGGCAAUUCAAGUCAUCUGUGAAAUCUCCGGGCUUAACUCGGAACGGUCAGCUGAUACUGAUGUGCUAGAGUGCAGAAGGGGCAAUCGGAAUUCUUGGUGUAGCGGUGAAAUGCGUAGAUAUCUGGAGGAACACCGGUGGCGAAGGCGGCAUCCUGGACCAAUACUGACGCUGAGGAGCGAAAGCGUGGGGAGCGAACAGG